rnacentral:rRNA from 1 species
GGUCAAGUGAAGAAGCGCAUACGGUGGAUGCCUUGGCAGUCAGAGGCGAUGAAAGACGUGGUAGCCUGCGAAAAGCUUCGGGGAGUCGGCAAACAGACUUUGAUCCGGAGAUGUCUGAAUGGGGGAACCCAGCCAUCAUAAGAUGGUUAUCUUGUACUGAAUACAUAGGUGCAAGAGGCGAACCAGGGGAACUGAAACAUCUAAGUACCCUGAGGAAAAGAAAUCAACCGAGAUUCCCUUAGUAGUGGCGAGCGAACGGGGACUAGCCCUUAAGUGGCUUUGAGAUUAGCGGAACGCUCUGGAAAGUGCGGCCAUAGUGGGUGAUAGCCCUGUACGCGAAAAUCUCUUAGUCAUGAAAUCGAGUAGGACGGAGCACGAGAAACUUUGUCUGAAUAUGGGGGGACCAUCCUCCAAGGCUAAAUACUACUGACUGACCGAUAGUGAACUAGUACCGUGAGGGAAAGGCGAAAAGAACCCCGGAGAGGGGAGUGAAAUAGAUCCUGAAACCGUAUGCGUACAAGCAGUGGGAGCCCACUUUGUUGGGUGACUGCGUACCUUUUGUAUAAUGGGUCAGCGACUUAUUUUCAGUGGCGAGCUUAACCGAAUAGGGGAGGCGUAGCGAAAGCGAGUCUUAAUAGGGCGUCUAGUCGCUGGGAAUAGACCCGAAACCGGGCGAUCUAUCCAUGGGCAGGUUGAAGGUUGGGUAACACUAACUGGAGGACCGAACCGACUACCGUUGAAAAGUUAGCGGAUGACCUGUGGAUCGGAGUGAAAGGCUAAUCAAGCUCGGAGAUAGCUGGUUCUCCUCGAAAGCUAUUUAGGUAGCGCCUCAUGUAUCACUGUAGGGGGUAGAGCACUGUUUCGGCUAGGGGGUCAUCCCGACUUACCAAACCGAUGCAAACUCCGAAUACCUACAAGUGCCGAGCAUGGGAGACACACGGCGGGUGCUAACGUCCGUCGUGAAAAGGGAAACAACCCAGACCGUCAGCUAAGGUCCCAAAGUUAUGGUUAAGUGGGAAACGAUGUGGGAAGGCUUAGACAGCUAGGAGGUUGGCUUAGAAGCAGCCACCCUUUAAAGAAAGCGUAAUAGCUCACUAGUCGAGUCGGCCUGCGCGGAAGAUGUAACGGGGCUCAAACCAUACACCGAAGCUACGGGUAUCACGUAAGUGAUGCGGUAGAGGAGCGUUCUGUAAGCCUGUGAAGGUGAGUUGAGAAGCUUGCUGGAGGUAUCAGAAGUGCGAAUGCUGACAUGAGUAACGACAAUGGGUGUGAAAAACACCCACGCCGAAAGACCAAGGUUUCCUGCGCAACGUUAAUCGACGCAGGGUUAGUCGGUCCCUAAGGCGAGGCUGAAAAGCGUAGUCGAUGGAAAACAGGUUAAUAUUCCUGUACUUCUGGUUAUUGCGAUGGAGGGACGGAGAAGGCUAGGCCAGCUUGGCGUUGGUUGUCCAAGUUUAAGGUGGUAGGCUGGAAUCUUAGGUAAAUCCGGGAUUCUAAGGCCGAGAGCUGAUGACGAGUUA